ACAAAGCGACCCCAGUAAGGCGAACUCCCACGGAUC
rnacentral:rRNA from 1 species